rnacentral:lncRNA from 1 species
CCUUGUUCUUUUUCAAUAAGUAAUGGUGUUUUAAAAACCAUCUCUGGGUUUUAUCAUGAACAGAGGCUGAAUUCCAUGCACAGUGAGGACUGUGUUAUUUACUUAUACUUGUUGAAUAGUAAACAGCAUUGAAGAAUGUUUGUAAAGAAACCCAAAUUUCCCUUUCCAUUUCUCAGUAUUAACUUUCUUUUUAUCAAGUAGAGACACAAUUGAAUAUUAUUUUCUUAAACCUCCCUGACAGAGCAGAGGUAUACACUGGGGAGCGUGGGAGCCUCUAUUUGGCAAAGGGAACUUCUCCUCUUAUUCCCAUAUGGAAAGGGACAUAAAUUUGGGGAGAGCUUGCUCCUUGCCUACGUUUCUGUGAUCCAUGGUUAACAAUCUCCUCAAGUGAAUUUCGAAUUAUCUUUCCAAUAAGCUGCAGAAGUACUUAAAUCAUUUAUUCGUUCUGGUCCUGAAAUGACAGUUACUCACUAAAGUCCCAAAGUGUCCCAAACCAUGAGGUGUCCACAGUAAAAUGACAUGUUUAAAAGUUUCCAUAAAUGCUGGUAACUGCACAUGAUAAUAAAUCUGAGUCAUUUCACAUGGCCAGUUGGGUCGGUAAUGCAAGACAUGUACUUAAAAUAUAUAUCUUCUUGCCUUUCAGGCUAUAAAGAUUAAUAAAUUUUGUGAAUUUUCAAGAUAAAGUGUGAGACAUUCUGAAUUUUAUGUGACUAUCUUGCAUGGCGACAGUAACCACGUUCUGGCCCUUGGAACAGGAGGCCAGGUGCCAGGAGCUGGAAGGAAUACAGAGAAUGAGCCUGCCGCUUUGGAAUCUCAUCUCCUGGAGGAAGAAUAAGUUAUCUACUUAGAUAUUCAAUUUUAACUGGUAUUUAAUUACAGCCAUACAAGUGGUUCCAUUAUUAGUCAGGAUGAACUAAGUUUUGCUACAAUAACAAAUUUUCCCAGAAUCUCAGUAGCUUAAUGGAA